AGAAGAAUCCUGAGUGUUGCGUGUUCCUUGCUGGCGAGGCUCGCUUUCUGAAGAACCAGCCAAUCGCAUCGUUGGACACAGCCCUCGAGGACAGAGUGGAAAAAGUUGGCAAUAAGGCCUUCCAGAGGAAACUUCAAAAACCCAGUUCAGACCAGCCAAAACCACACAGUCCCACUCCUAAGUGACUGCAGACACUAUUCAUUAUAAUCUCAUUAUAAUGCUAAAUUCUCCACCCUCUUGUAGCCUGCAAAAUAUAUAAAGGAGCCUGAUCUGGAACUCGGCAAGUGCAGGAAAGCCCACAAAACUGAGUCCCUGCCUUGGAGUUAUACUGUGACCCCCUUCCCUGCUGCAAAUAAUA